GUGCCAGAAACUGCAAAGGCUGUUGCUCCUUCAAUGUAUACUCGCCUAGCAGAUAUGGGAUGGCGCCAAGUAAUAGAAUGACUGACGGCCGAUUUUUCCGAAUCAGGCGCGCAAACCAGUACGUGGAAGCGAUGAGUGGAGACGAGGACGCGAACCAGAGAAAGAAGUCCUGGUGCGUCAAUACCGUCGUCGUUGGUGACCACGAUCGUCGGCUUCUGAUUAGAGUUCAAAACGGCAGUAUCUUCCAUUUUUGUGGACGGAUGUAACAGCAACUGAGAUCCUGAGAGGAAGAAAGGAAGGAGAGUGCGUUUUGCAAACGCCAAAAGCAAGAAAGAAUGUAGUUGGUGGAUUGAAUUUAACACUGCCUCUAUUUCAUCUAUUCUCAAAUGCAGAUGCUAAUCAAUCAUGGCAGCCCACUACCGUGGGAAUAUUUUAUUUUUGCUUUCUUACCAA
rnacentral:misc_RNA from 1 species